UUUCUAACUCAGUACAACACUUAACUGGAGCCUAACUAGCAUACACAAGAAUUUGUUGUACGCACUUGCACAAGUUAUGGGCCACAUGCCACCCCAAGCAAAUACAUAACCUGCUACGCAGAAAGGCCAAAAUGAACCCAUAAAGCAUACUGACUCUGUGAACCCAAGCUUACUGACAUGCUAAGUGCCAUUUGGCCCGGCCAUAGCCCAUUACAAUGCGGUAGAACUCGAGCAUAAGCACGCCAAAUAGCACGCAACGUCAAGCGAAAGACUUUUAUUUUGACACCAAGUCACG
rnacentral:lncRNA from 1 species